rnacentral:rRNA from 1 species
UGGGGAAUUGUUCGCAAUGGGCGCAAGCCUGACGACGCAACGCCGCGUGGAGGAUGAAGGUCUUCGGAUUGUAAACUCCUGUUGCCAGGGACGAAAAGCUCCGACCUAACACGUCGGAGUCUGACGGUACCUGGUGAGGAAGCCCCGGCUAACUCUGUGCCAGCAGCCGCGGUAAUACAGAGGGGGCUAGCGUUGUUCGGAAUUACUGGGCGUAAAGGGCGCGUAGGCGGCCCGCUAAGUCGAACGUGAAAUCCCCGGGCUCAACCCGGGAACUGCGUCCGAUACUGGCAGGCUUGAAUCCGGGAGAGGGAUGUGGAAUUCCAGGUGUAGCGGUGAAAUGCGUAGAUAUCUGGAGGAACACCGGUGGCGAAGGCGGCAUCCUGGACCGGUAUUGACGCUGAGGCGCGAAAGCCAGGGGAGCAAACGGG